AAAAAAAUGAAAGAAAAAAAAGGAAGGAGGAAGUGAAAGAGGGAGAGAAGGAGGAGGGGGAGAAACAGGGGAAGGAAGGAAAAAGAAAAAAAAGAACGAGAUGUCUAGAAUUUUUAUAACGUGUGCAGGUUAAGCAAAACCUGGCUGUGGGCCAGCUUGCUCCACAGCCCAGUGAGCUGCAGUUUUUGCUUUGAGCUAUUUCUUUCCCUGUGAAAUUAUGUUUGGGUCCUGGGUCAUCAGAAUGGAGGAAGACUUGUGCCCACAAUAGACCUACAGGGGCCACGGACCUCUAAGGAAAGGGCUGAGGCAGAAGAGACAGUUGAGACUCCCUGACAGCCUGUGCAUCCUGUUAAUGCCACCCAACACAGAGGAGGGAUGAGAGCACUGUCAGAGCUUCUGCUUUGCAUUUUUUUCAAUGAAGCUCUGGGGACCAGAGGAGCCUGAUAAACAGAGAUGCCUUGAAGAAAUAAUGUGUGAAUUAUGGCAGAACCCUGGAAAUCUCAGAAGGACUCAGGUGCAAAGGAUCCCCUGGGACUGGCCGGCUGGCUCCGCGUGCUCCUUCCUCUCCCCAAGUUCCACACCCACUUCACCUCCAGUCCCCAGAAGCCCGAGGAAUCCUUCAAAGAAAACACCUUCUCAGGCUUUCCCAGCUCUCCUCCCUCUGCGUG